CUGUUAGAUUUGUCGGCAUCACUCUCAGUAAAAUCAAUUCUUUUUUUUGCGUUGAUCCUGAUUGUAAUGUACAUCACAGAUGUAAAGAAGUCUUGAUCAGAGGAAUACAAUAAGAUGGAGGUUUAUGAAAGAUUACAUGUAGCAGCAUAUAAAAAAGAGAAAGCAUUUGAGAAGGGAAAAAGACUAACAUUCAAUUCCAUUUGGACUUUCACAUAAAAGUAUCAUUGUGGCAAGUCAUAUAAUGGAGAAGCAAUAAGAGAGAUGUUUAAAAUCCAAGUUUAUGAAGCAUUACCUAUUUUCGUUUUCCUUUAUGCUGAUAGACGUUAGCUUAUGAGUUGUAGGAGUAUUGUCAUUGGUGGUUGUAUCCUUGCCUGACUGAAAAAGCUUCACACAUUAUGUUAAUAACCAUGAUAUAUGAAGGACAUAAUUUAUAGGGUACUUGGCAGACGAAUCAGUGUUCAUUCCUAUGUAGAAUAACUUCUCUUUACCAAUGGCCUUAUCCAGGUGCUGAAGGUUGCUCCUCCCUGGCACAAAAAAGGAUGAAGUAUCAAUAAUCUAUUUUAUUUUGAAUGGCGAGGCAGGAAAAAGUGAACUGCAUGAGAAAGUGUUCACCUGAAAAGAUGAUGCUGGAAGGUUAGAUAUUUCUUCAAUGGUGUAUAGUUUGCCUGCUGCUUCAAGUGGAGAUACUUGUUUGACCUGAGGGAGAUGCUUUUGUAGAGUUGGGCAUUUCCAUUGAUAGCUUCAAAUGUUUUUCAUAUAAAAUAUUAGUUUGCUGUAGUGCUAAACAUAAAUUCUGUAUGCGCAAGAGUGAGAAAGAGAGAACCUGGUGCGGUACUUUUGAACUUCAGGUAUAUCAAGAUCAAGAUAUAUUUGUGUCGCAGAACUUGAGGAUCCUUGUAUCAUACCUAUAAACUUAUGUUGUUAA